AGAAUCAACGCUGGCGGCGUGCCUAACACAUGCAAGUCGAACGAGAAAGUGGAGCAAUCCAUGAGUAAGGUGGCGCACGGGUGAGUAACACGUGACUAACCUACCCUUGAGUGGGGAAUAACUGAGGGAAACCUUAGCGUAAUACCGCAUAAUACCUACGGGUCAAAGGAGCAAUUCGCUUAAGGAGGGGUCGCGGCAGAUUAGCUAGUUGGCGGGUAAUGGCCCACCAAGGCAGUGAUCUGUA
rnacentral:rRNA from 1 species